CUUUUCCUCCUCCUCUUCCUUCUCCUUCUCUCCCUCUUCUUCCUCUCCUUCCCUCCCCAUCUCCCUCUCCUCUUCCUCUUCCUUCUCCUCCUUCUCUCCCUGUUCCUCCUCUCCUUCCCUCCCCAUCUCCUCCCUCUCCUCCUCCCAGCCUCUUCCCUUCCUACAGACUCUCACUGUGUAUCCCAGGGUGACUGAAGUUGGAUGCUGAUUGUGUAUUGGGAACCAUCCCUCAGCCCCCCCCCCCACACCGAGCAUCCUCUUGUCUUUGCUGUCAUCUCUUCUCUGUGCCUCAUCUUAUUGCUGACUUGGAAAGAAAGCACAGCUCAUGGAUCCUGCUCAGUUGGCCAGAUACCAACACUGUGGUGACUGCUUGUUUUCCGUUUUCAGCCUUGAGUGCUUCUAUUAGUAAAGUCAGAGCGAGUGAUGAUGACCUACUACCUCUUCCAUUGUCAACAUGUCCUAGGAAUGUGUGUUCUGAUGUCGGGAAUGGAACUCAGCCCAUUCCAUUAGGAAAAACAGGAUAGAAUGAACUUAAACAUAGACCUUCCACAGUGGUCCAGCAAUCUCACUACUGGACCCAGAACUAAACUAAUUAUUCUGUCACAGAGCUGUCUUCCCUCUCUCAUCUAUCGUGUCGAUGUUUCUCUUGGUCCUUUACUCUGUGCUACUUCUGCAAGUAAGACUAGAAUGUCACUAGUAAGACUAGAGAAAUAAGGAGUGGACCAGUGGGGACUUCAACAGAGGAACACAUGUAAAGAAAAAGCGAUGGACCAGGCAACAGAGUACCAUCCGGCCUUGAAGAGGAGUGCAGGCCCUCAUUUGUAACAGCACAGAUCUCUUCCAAGAUAUUCAGUAGAAUACAGAACGUAAGAAGCCUAAACGUUUCCGGAGACCAAUAGAAGAUGGAACUUGUCACGUCUCCAGCAGACAUCCAUUGACCUGGGGUCCAGCAACCGCUCUGAUGCUGUUAACAGCAGCAUUUUCUCAUGAUCUGCAAGAGCUUGAAAAGCUGCUACAGCCGGGACUCCAGCCGUCAUGACUGACGUGGAGCACGCGUACCUCCCUCCUGCUCACGUUGCUGCAGCUCCUGUCUGCUGCUUAGCUCCUCUCACUGACUGGUGUUAUACUCUCAUUAGUCAAUUCAGUCUUCACAAGCCUGUCGAGCUGGUACCACAGCGACAGUGUUUACCAUGAGGGUUGAACUAAAAAUGGAACUCCUCUCAGGACAGGUGGUGGAACUGGCUCUUAGUUAAGUCCGAGUCUAACGCCAGAUGUUUUAGCCUGAUUUCGCCCCUCCCUCCCAUUAUAAGCCAUAAUGUGUGCUCUCAUAUAACCUUGCAGGAGUAAUCUACGUUUCUACGUUAACGAUGGCUGUAUAAGACUCACACCCUUAUGGUCUAACCUUCCAUGUUUCUCUCAUAGGAUGCCCUCUUUUAUUUGUAGGAUAAGUAUUAUGAAAUGUAGUAUAGAGUUUUUGUUUGUUUUCUUUUUUGAAAUAGGGUUUCUCUAUAGAGCCCUGGCUGUCCUGGAAUUUACUAUGUAGAGCAGGCUGGCCUCAAACUCACAGAGAUCCCCCUGCUUCUGCCUCUGAGUGCUGGAAUUAAAGGCGUGCGCCACCAAGCCCAGCUCAUCAGUAUGGGUUUUAAAGGACCAACCAGUUCUCAGAUUCUUCACUGAAAGCAUCCUUCUGACCUCAUUCUCCUGUUGCCUUAGCAACUGUGAGUGAUGAUUGGCAGAGCACGUGUCUGGGGCCCUGGUACUCCCAUUGGUGAGUUCCUGAGGAAAGCGGGUGCUGCCGCAGGCCCCGUGAAACCCAGUGAGACUGCAUUCGUGGGCUGCCUACCAGGCUGGACAGUUCCUCGUGAUCCAGACCUGUCAGCUUAUCUGUGAACGAUCUAAGCUUGUGCCUGGAGUGUGUGUGAAUUCUGAUUGGAUGAGGUGGGGUGGAGCUAGAAGGAGGAGUCGGCAGCGAGUAGUGAGAAGAGUUUAGCCCUUGCUGCAAGAUGGAUGGAGUAGUAGAAGCUGCUGUUGUAAGUGGUAGAAGCUAGCUGUUGUAAAAGAAGCCAAUAGUAGUGAAGAGAGUUUUUUAGCCCUUGCCCUAGGUAGAAGCCAGAAGUAGUGAAUAAGAGUAGCUUUAGCUCUUGCUGUGAGUAGUGGUAGAGUAGUGAGUAGUUUAGCCCUUGCCCUAAGAAGAAGCUGCUGGGGAAGAGAGCUGUAAAAGAAAAAGCCUGAAGUAAAGGCAUUGCUGCAUGAACCCAA